CUCUUCACGUCGGUGUCGCUACCGCGUGGAGGGGGCGGCGUGUUUUCGCGGACUGAGCGUGCCUCUCUCUCUGUGUACAUAUAUAUAUAUGUGUGUGUAGGGGUCUGUGUGCGUCUCCGUGGGCUUCCCGUUUUCUCGUUUUCCGCUCUCUCUCUCUCGCCACAGACGUCUCCCUUUGCAUUCCGAAUUCGAUUCCUUAGCUUUCGCCUGGUCACCACUGCUUAGGCCAUGAGCGACCACUGGGCACCGUACGAGCGCGCAUGGGCGCAAGACCCUCAUCACCUGCAUCGCAGCGUGUGUUUGUCAGCGCUUAUCGCGGAGGCCGACCGAGCAGUUGCGGCUGCGUUGGUGAACCUUUCUCGCGAAUACGACGCAACCAUAUUGUGCGGGUCUCACCAUACCCCUGCAGAGCAGCACGUCACAUCGGCUGAAGAUGAAGGCGAGUACCACCAACGCUGUGUCGACUCUCCCGACAGCAACGCAUCGCUCGACUGGCGGCAGCUCUACUGCUCCCUCUGCCUAAUUCAAGCUCCCAUGGUGCGGUGUAGCAGGCCGGCGUUUCGCCAAGUAUGCCGAGCGUGGGGGGCGCGCGUCAGCUACACUCACAUGCUCAUCGCGGAGAGCUUCGUCAAGUCGCCGCAUGCGCGGCACGCCGAGUUUGCGCGGUACGAAGGCGAGGAUCGGCUUGUCGUGCAGCUCGCCGCCAAGAGCGGGCCUGCCGCCGCACAAGCUGCGGUGCUACUUCGCCCGUACUGCGACGGCAUCGACCUCAACUGCGGGUGCCCGCAGCGGUGGGCGAUGAAGGAAGGAAUCGGGUCUGCACUGCUCGACCAACCAGAGCGAGUGGCGGACAUGGUGCGCUCCAUUCGCAACGCCAUGCCAGACGGCAGCACGGCGUCAACGAUCGUCGGAAACGGCUGUGAGUACGGCAGCUGCACCAGCACCGUGCCGCCAUUUCUGCCGUGUGUGGUGAAGAUGCGGAUAAAAGAUGACCUGCGCCGCAGCGUCGACUUUGCGCGGCAGUGCGAGGCAGCCGGUGUGUCUUGGUUGACGGUGCACGGCCGUACCCCUACCUGCCACCCUAGUGCUGCAGUGCAGUUUGAGGCCGUCAAGCUCAUUCGCGAGAAUCUCUCUGUGCCAGUGGUGCUGAACGGCGGUGUGACGGACGUGAGCACGGCGAUGGAGGCGGCUCUACGCACCGGUUGCGGUGGGCUGAUGUCCGCGAACGGGCUGCUCGACAACCCCGCGAUGUUCUACUGUGGCGCAUCGAGAGCUGCGGCGGAGGCGGAGAUGAGCUUUGCGCCGAGCCGCCGGGGACGGCCACCCCGAACCUGCGAUCCCGCGUCGUCGCCGGCGGAGACAGCAGCGCCUGGCGUCUUUUCCGAGGUUUUCUCACCGGUGCAGCCAGUGUCGUUCUUGUGGGCACCCGACCGGUCAAACGCAGAAGCGGGGUUGCUCCGAUACACGGUGCCUGACAUGUGGCAGGCCGCCGUCACCCCACGCGAGGUCAUCUCAGACUUCAUGCGUGCAGCUAUCCGCACUGACUUGAUGGUGCCCACGACGGUGCAGCAGGUGUUGCGCAUGGCGCGGCUGUAUGUGUCGCCGGCGGAGCGCAGUCAUAUCGCACUGCUGCGAUCCAACCUCUCCGUUCUGAACGCUCUGCAAGAGAUUGGCGCCUACGUGGAAAGCGGCCGCAUCGCGUGUGAAUAAGCUCGAGCAGGCCGAGAGAGAGGGAGACCGUAGAGCUCGACUUCCCUCAUAAUUGCGCCCGUGAUGUAUGUGCGUCUGUACGCCGAGAAGCACCUCUGCGCAUCUGAGCUCGCCUCCCUCCUUGCCGCCCAUACUGUGAGAGUAUCUCACAACCCUUUGUUGCUGCCCUCUCAACGAAACGAAGAUAUACACAUAUGUGUGUGUUUUCCUUUGUUCUACAUCUGUAAUGAAG
rnacentral:misc_RNA from 1 species